AUGUACCACUCGUACACUGCGAUUGCUCCGCGUCCUCUGCAUCGGCUUGGCGACUGCUCGUUACAUUCCGUUAGCG
rnacentral:sRNA from 3 species